AUGCAGUAUUUCAGAAAUGUAUGGGAUGUCCAAAAACUUUUUUCCACUGCUGCAUUUAACAACAAUCUGAUCUGCUGUUGUUGGCAAGACAAACAAGUGAAGGUUUCAGGCUUUUAUCUAGAAUUGUUCUUGAGAUAAUUCAUCUUCAAACAGCCUCAAAUUUCAAUGUGAGAAAAGAAAAACGAGUGAAACUGGGUCUACAGUCCACUGAAAAACCUCUAAGAAAGUAUCUGACAUAUUGGGUGAUGUGUAUGACCCAGCACCCACAGCUGGUUGGGUGUCAUGUGGCUCUGUGUUCUGAUUGGAUGAUUGUCCAACCACUGCCACAAGUAUGAAGGUCAUCCUGCAGGCGUGGCAGGAACACGGAGUGGAAACACAAUAUAUGUGUUCAUCUGGCCAUGCUGAGGGAACCCUCUGCUUCAAGCUAGUGGAGAACAUCAUAGUAGGUAGAGUCCCUAAUAUUAUCAGAGUAUCGACAUGACGGGUCCGAAAAAUUUUGGUCACGUGAUCUAUAUGUGCCAUUUUGUUUCCUAUUCAUGAACGCCGGGUUUUCUGUUAACGUUGUUUACACUGCAGAGAGUAAUUCUAGGUCCUUUUUCGCUUCCUAAAUACCUGAAAAAAUGAUGGGCUGUUGUGCCUUUGGGUGCACAAAUCGAUCGUAGAAGGGAUUCCACAUGUUUAGAUUUCCCAGUAAUAGUCAAAGAAGGAAACUGUGGGAAAAUAAAGUCCGGAGAGUGGGAUGGAAACCGACUUCAUCGUUUUUGUGCCAGGUUAGUCCCAUGUUUGUACUUUCAUGUUAUGAUGUAUGGGUGAAUGACAGAUAGAAAAGUUUGAUGUGAUUUUAGGCAGUUGUGGUUAUUUUGACUUUGACCAUAUUCAUGCAUGGAGAUGUGUUACUGGUGACUGUUGGGUACCGUAACCCGUUAAACUUCCGUAUUCGGGCCGUCUUGAGAUGUGCAAACGUAUUUUGCUAAAUUGACCAAAGCUGCAAACUCGAUGACAGAAACAUUAUACACCCAUGGAAAGCUUAGAUUCUCAUGAAUCCACCGGUAUAAACCACUUUCAAAUGUGAUUACCACAGCGGGUAAUAUAAACACAUUUGUCCAACAAAUAACAUAAACAGCAAAACUCACCUUUGAAUCCUCAUAACUAGUCACAGAUGAAAAUAUUCCACUAAAAACGGCCAUAAUCCAACCUUGGACAUCCAGAAAAAACAAGCCAGUAAUAUUUUGUCCAAAACAUGUCUUCAAAUCAGUAAACAAUCCACAAGUAGCAAGUUUUUGUGAAUGUGCACCUCGCACUGCGCGUCCCAUAUUGAGUGAAUGGAAACAAAAUGGCUUCAAAUCCCCAGUUGUCGCUGCUCUGAUAAUACAGAGGCUCUAAUAGUAGGUGCUGGUUACUGCCCCCUACAGGUCUCUACACAGUCCUUAAUCCUGGAGAAUUAGAAAAUGACUAAAAAUAUAUUUCAACUUUAUAUAAUAAAAAAUUAACUUGCACUCGACUUCUCACAUGACUAAUUAACCCUGUCCUGUGAGUCAAAAUUGACUCGUUUUAAAGUUUGAAAAUGUGGGAAAAAAUAUAUAUUUUCACAGUGAAACUUCUGAUGUCCACGUUUUCAACAUUUUUGGGAAAUCUUUGAACAUUUUUAGGUGGAAAUAAAAACUUAAAAAUAUUUCUAAAGAACAUUCACAAAAAAAUCAACCAAAAUCCAGUGAAAUUCACUGGAUUGUUGAUGAUGUUUUUAAAGAAAAUAUUAGAAGUUUUACUGAAAUGCAUAUAAUCACUUUAGAUAUUUUUAGGAUUUUUUUUGGAAGAUUUUUACUCAUUUUUUAAAAAAUAGUUACAACAAUUUUCUUGCCAAAUUUGGGUGAUUUUUUGAAAAGAAAACUUUUAUAAAAUUACUGGAAUUUUCUUCCUGAAGGUUUUACAAAUUUUCAGAAAUUUGAGGUUUUUUUUUAUUUUUUUCGACAAGGAAACAAUGUUUUUUGGUACCUGUAAAAUGAGGACAACAGGAGGGUUAAAACAUUAAAAGGCAUCAUUAUUAAGGUUUCUUUUAUGAAACGUUUUUCAUCAACAAGUACACAAAAUAGAUUAAAAAUAUAAUCUAACAUAUUUACUGAUUAAUAACUUUGAAUUUCUUCUUUAUGUUGUUCUUCUGCAUAACUCACUAUUUCAAACUGGCUCAUGUUACUUCCAUGUGAUCUGCCAUUAAAACGACCACAUUCUACCAUAAACACUGUAAAUAAUAACACACCUGCUCAAAGUUAAAGGCCAACAUACGACCCAAACAUAACAUGGAUUUGGUGCCACUUUCAACUAAGAUGAUCUCUUCUGUUAAACAAACCGUUGAUUGUGAAUCUUUUUCCAGAUAUGAAGCUGCUCCUUCCAGGUCCACAGACAGUAAACAAAACAAAGCUCUCUGUAAAAACCCUCAGAAUGUUGAAUAGAAUAAAUGUGGACAGUUUCAUGACUGGAAGAGAAGAUUUCUGGAUCAUUUUGUGUCUCAUUUGUGUCAUUAUGUGUUUUGUUUUGUUCAGUUUACGUCUUUCUGUCAGGUUUUAAACAUUUUGCAUCUUUUCAUGUUAUUUUUCUUCCAUUUUGGUCAUUUUGUGCCUUAAUUUUGACCAUUUUGUGGUUCAUUUUGGUCAUUCUGUGUGUUUUUAAGUUUGUUUCUGUUUAAAAUUGUUCAUCUUGUUAGUUCUUUUGAUCAGUUCACGUCUAUUUCAUCAUUCUUUGACUCAGUGGCCAUUUCUAUUUCAGUUUUCAUCUCAUUUUUGCUCUGAAUUGCUCAUUUUAUAUCUCAUUUUAGUCAUUUUCCAUCACUUUCAGGUUGUUUUUGUUCAAUUUUGGUCAUUUUCCAUCUUAUUGGAUCAUUUUGUGCAUUUCAGCAUGUCUUUAGAAAAAUAAAUGUAUCAAUCAGACAGUAAAUGAUCUAUGAACAAACCUCCUUCAGAAUGUUGAAUAGAAUAAAUUUGGACCGUGAUGAAUGUAAGUAAAGAUUUCUGGAUCAGUUUGGUCAUUUUGAGGCUAAUUUUGGUCGUGUUUUUAUCUAAUUCAGGUCAUUUUUUUGUCUCUCUUUGUGCCAUUUGUCCACCAGAGGACAAAUGGUUCAAUCACAGAAUGAGGGUAUGUAUUGAAAAAAUAUCAUCCAAAAUUAGUCCAGAGUAGUGACUAUAAUUUGAAUUUUAAUACACUUAACCAAGUGCUAUAGGUGGAAAAAAAACAUGUUUACACAGCAUGAUGUUGCUUUGUGAUGUUGCAACUGACAUGCUGAUUUCAAAAUGGAAGCAUUUUAAUUUCUAAUGCUCUCAUAGAAGAUGACUGGUCAAUAAAAUUGACUCCUGUGACUCUGAUGUCAUGCAGAGUCUUUAUGCUAUGAUGUGGAAAGGGUGAAAGAAGACAGACUGGACAUUUCUGAGUGAAACUGAACAGGGCAUGUACUGAUUCAUAAAAAACAAGUGUAGUAUUAUCUUUAAUCAAGCCUUACAUAGUAUUUACUAGCUGAAGUACUUCGGUUUUGAACACAAGAAUUACUUGUCAAGACGACGUUGACUGGAGCUCUGCUACAGAAAGGCAGUUCAUUUUCUGCUGGGGUUCAUAACAUACAAGAUUUCUCAAAUCUACAGAGAUGUUUUUGAUUUUAAAUUAGAGUUACCUUAAAUUAAUAAUAUAUAUUUUUGAUACUUUCCCUAAAAAAACUCUAAAAAAGCUUCAGGUGUAGCUGCUGGAAAAGAGCCUGCAAGUCACAUGGUGGGACAUGUGAACAUAGUUCAAGGAAGCAAGGCUGGGAGCAAGAGCCCAAACAGAGGAGGUAAAAGAAAAGGUCAAACUACAGGAGAACAAUGUGAUGAGUGCACCGAGAGAUCCAAUACAGGGAGCUUUCCUUUUUCAAAGAUCAUUAGAAGGACAGAAGACAAAAAACCUAUCAUCUGGGUCAGGUGGUCACUCUGCAGCACAAGGAGUACUAUCCCACAUUGGAUCUGAUGUUAAUAUUUCCCUCAGACAUGGUGCUUCUUCAGUGGCGUCCCUGCACAACAUGGUAAAUGUCAAAUAAUGUCUUGUCUACUUUUGCAGUGAGAGGACAGAUUUGGUAAAUAGUCAGCACUGGCAGUCCACAACAAAUGCAGGGUGUUGCACAGGCAGAUUCUAGAUGACAUCGUGUUAUGUAAGACAUCCUUGUAGGUUUUUCAUCUUUCUACUCUCUGUGAAAGAGCAAAAUUGUAUUAGAUUAAGUCACAGACAUCUUCAAUCUCCAAUGAGAGUUUGUCUUUGCUUCUUUAACCCUCUAAGACCAAAAAAUAAAGACAACUUAAAAAGUUUCUAUAAAUAAAUAAUGUAAGGAGGCUGUAUUUUUGCAGCAGUGGGUUUUACAGGGUUAAAAAGAUAUUUCUGUAUUGAAAUCACAAGUAUUUAGAUGUCAGUUGUUCUCCAGCUGCUUAAAUAUAUAGUUUGUUAAAUUAUGCUCCAUAAACCAGCUCUAAAUGAGGUCAACUUAAGCCUCUCAGACCAAAAAAUAAAGAAAACUUAAAAACAUACACAUGUGAGAAAGAAUUGAUAUAGAAAAAAUAAAAUUAAGUCAAACAAAAAGUUUCUCUAAAUAAUGUACGGAGGCUGUAUUUUUGCAGCAGUAACAGUAACAGUUUCUACCCCACAGCAAUAACUACCCUCAAUGCCUUAAGGAAUGUCUGAUUGAGUAUUUAUUUAUUGUUUUUCUAUUUAUUAACUUGUGUUGUCUUUUUUAAUGAUGCUCUGACUGUCUGGUACUUUUAAAUGUUGUUGUACUGGUUACAAUGACAAUAAAGGACUAUUCUAUUCAGUGGGUUUUACAGGAUUAAAAGGUAUUUCUGUAUUGAAAUCACAAUUAUUUGGAUAUCAGUUGUUCUACAGAUAUAUAGUUUGUUAAAUUAGGCUCCAUAAACCCAGCUCAACAAAAGAAAAAGUUAGAACUUGCUCGCACAAGCACAGGCAUGUCGAAACAUGUCUGAGCUCAACAAAAGAAAAAGUUAAGAGUUCGCACACACAAGCUCAGGCAUGUCUGAGCUCAACAAAAGCACAGUAGCCAAUUAUGUUUAUUCCACCUGAUUAACAUCCCUGUGAAACAAGCAGAGGACACCUUUUUUAUGGAAAGGCUACUUCAUGUGACACAGCUGACCCAGACCCCAGUACCUUACAACGGACUCUGUCGCUCCUGUUCUAUUACAGACGAUGACUUCAUUUAACGUUCGACUCGCGUCCCCGUCGGAGAGGACCAGGUCCAGCAUCUGGAGCUGGCUCAGGAUCUCGCUCACAUCUUCAACCGCCGAUUCGGAGACUUUUUCCCUGAAGUUGGAGCUCUGCUGACUGAGAAAACACAAACACAGACUCACAUUCAGUAGGAUUUAGCUGGUUUUAGGGUGUAACUGCUGGAAAAUAGUGAUUAUUGUUACAUAGAAUCACAGAGGAUGAAAAAUAAAGAGAAAAUGUGAUGUUUUUCUCCACUUUAUAUGGUUUUAAUUGAAACGGAGUCCAAAGUGACGUCUGAUAUCUAAUUAUAGCUGCAAAACUCUGCAGCUUCAUGUUUUUAUGCGUAAAUUGUGAGCUUCGUUGAGUAAAAAGUGGGAAACAACUCAAUAAAACUUCAUCUUGGUGCAUUAAACUUCUUUCAAACACACAUUUAAGAUGUUUCUUCAGUAUUAGCAGAUGUUCAAAUGAAAAUUUAACAGCGAGAGAGAGUUUAUUCACUGUAAUUACAGUAAUAUUGAGUGUUUUUUUCUCCAUUUUAUAUGAUUGUAAUUGGAAAUGCUCAAUCAGUUAAUCCAAAAAUACACAAGAUCAUCACUUGCAGUUGAUGUCUGAUAUCCAAUAAUAGGAACCAAGGAGUUUUAUUUCGUGAAAGUGGCAAGAACUUCAAGAAAACUCCUUCUUUAAAACACACAUUUAAGACAUUUCUGCUGCAUUAGCAUCUGCUUCAACGACAAUUUACACUUAAGAAAGACUUUAUUUUUGGAAAUUCUAGUAACAUUGAAUGUUUUUCUCUAUUUUAUAUUAUUUGCAGACUUUUAUGAAAUGGAGGAAAGAAGUUAUAGGAGCCAAAACUCUACAGCUUUAUGUUUUCGUGCGCAAGACUUCACUUUUUGUUUAGUAAAAGUUACAAAAACCUCAAAAAAACUAAUAAUAUUUUAAUAACAUUUAACUAUUAGCAGCUGUUUAGAUAAGAAUUGAGAGAUGACACUUCAUUUGUGUGUCUUAGAGCAUAAACAUGUGACUUAACUUUCUAUAAACAUGUAUCUUUUAUUUUCAGCUGACAGAUAAUCUGUCAUUUAUAAAGACAGAUGUGUCAUUCUUCUCUGCCUUAAACAUGAAUUAAUUCAAAAAAACUAAAGAUUAUCGGUUCCCGUAGACGUCUAAUGUCCAAUAAUAGGAGUGGAAUCUCUGCUGCUUUCUGUUUUUAUGCGUAAAUUGUCAGUUUUGUUGAGUAAAUGUUUGAAAAACCUCAAGAAAACUCCGUCUUGACCCGUUAAACUCUUUCAAAACACACAUUGAAGACAAUUAUUUAGCAGUAGCAGCUGUUUAAAUGAGAAUUUAAACUUGAGUAAGAUUUUAUUCUUGAAAUUUACAUGUAGUGAUAUUCAAUGUUUUGCUCCACUUUGUAUGAUUUUAAUUUUAAAUGUUGAAUCAGCUAAUGCAUAAAAACUAAAGAUUAUCAGCCGCAGGUAUCCAGCAACAGGAGCCAAAGCUCUGCUGCUUUAUGCUUAAAGAAAACAGAUGUUUUACUGAUAUAUAUGUAAUCACUUUAGAUAUUUUUAGGAUUUUUUUGGGGAGAUUUUUCUCAUUUUUGAAAAUAUUUACAAAAAUUUUUUUUUUUUCCAAAUUCUGGGACUUUUUGAAAUAAAACUUUUAAGGAAUUAUUGGAAUUUUCCUCUUGCAAAGUUUUGCAAAUCUAUAAGUUGCUUACAACUUCACUAAAAAGGGAUUUUUCUCUGCAAUCAUUUCAAAGGUUUAAUUUCAAGAAAUGUUCAAAUGCUCCUACAGAUUUACCUGCUGUUUCUGGAUAUACAAUAGUAGUCUAUUUAAGGCGUAUACAGUAUAGUGAAAUAUCGGUCAGAAGAAUCAACCAUCAAGCAGUACCUUUACAUGCUUUAACUACAUGAUUGCUGCUAAUAAUUAUGUGCAUUUUCUUAUCCCUUUGACGCACAACAGGGGUCAAGAGACACCCAUUUUGCAUUAAAAGGUUACAUUGGGUUUUUAAGCAUUUUUUUUUAGAAAUCAUACAGAUUGAAGUGUUUUUACUUUACUGUAUUGGUACUUUUGCUGAAGCAAAAGAUCUGAAUAUUUUUCCACCAAUGCAUUUAAGUCAAAAUCGUAAAUCCUGAUCAUAUAUGUUGCUUGAAGGAAGUUGAGGAUCUCCAUAGUUUAUUCAUAGUCUUGGUGCCGCGUAUGUCGGUAUUCAUUUUUGUGCCAAUCCAUCUAUUUGUAGAUAUAUUUGAAUGUAUAACCAACAGGUUUGACUUCAUCUUCUGGACACAAUGAAUAUCUGUACCAAAUUCCACGACUAAAUCCAAUAUAUUUGACCUGUUUUCACUGUUUCCAUGCUUACAUUAGCAGUAAACAAAAGUAAAGGCGAGUAUGUCAACCACAGUUUCGUUAGUUUGGUCACAAGACUCAAGUACUGGAGAAAUAGGAAUUUUUACCUGCUGGUGGUGCUAAAUGAAAAGUUCAUCAUCUCUUUCGGUUGGUGAGUUGACAUCUUAAACUCAACCGUAAGUGUCUAAUGUUAAAGUUUGGAAGAUGGAAACUCAGUGGGACUAUCAACUAACUUCCUAGUUUAUCCUCAAUUCUGCAAGCUUGCCAUCUUCAAAUAGGUCUUUUUUCCUCCAUCAUCCAUGUGAAAACCAAAAACUUAUUGAUUUCCUGUCAUAUGUAGGGCUGCAACUAACAACUGUUUUCAUUGUUGCAUAAUUUGCUGAUUGUUUUCACAAUCAGUCAUUCAUUGUUUGGACUAUAAUGUGUCAGAAAAUGGUGAAAUAUAUCAGUCAGUGUUUCCCAAAACCAAAAUGUCGUCCUUGAAUAUCUUUUGUCCACAACCAAAAGCUAUUCACCUUACUCUCAUAGAGAAGUAGAGAAACCGCAAAAUAUGUUAUUUUUAAAUGAAAAAAUACGGAAACCAGUUAACUGACCAUUUAUAUAGUUGGAGAUUCAUUUAAUAGUUGACAGGUAAUUGAUUAUUUGUUGCUGUUUGGUUUGUUUUUGCCUUAAAACUCAGUAGAAUUUGCUAUCUGGAGACAGUUAAUGUCUGUACAAUAAAUUUUAAAAAUCACGGCAGUCCAUCCAGUGGUUGGAAUCACGCCACUAUUGUGGCUAAUAACCAACACUGACCAUAACCAGACAGAAAAACCUCUGUUCAAUACCCACAGAGAGAAACCUGAACAAAAGUGGGUGACUCCAACCAACCAGGCAAUAGUCUUUGUCAAGUUAGUUCUCUCCAGCCUGCUCUUCCUAACUUGAAAAAGGAAGCUUUAUUUUAAGGGUCCGGGGUCAUGCAGGAAUUCACUCAGGGCCGGCAGUCUUUUGCAUUUUUUUUCUUCUUUUAUUGGAAUUUUAAAAAUAUUUCAUUUCAUUUAACUAUGGCUGCUUAUGGGCCGCUCAGGUGAAAAACCUGAAGAAACACAAAAGCACAUGCGUAAACAAAAACCAACAGAAUAAAACAUGCAAACAAUACAACAUUUCACCAUGUUAAAUACACAAAUUUCAUUUUAAAUAAAGAUAAUCAUCUCAGCAAAAAUAUUUUAAACUACCAUUCAAACACGACUUCCACAGCGACCAACUGACAUUUAAAUUUACAUCUGCGCAUAAACUCCAAUCUAAAAUCUCAAUCCAUCCACUGUGCAUAGCAAGAACUACGAGACAAAACCACAAAUCCAUUCAUUCACAAGCAGAUCCUGUGUGCCACAAACAUUUAAACACUCACACAAAUCAAAAAACUAACACACCAACCUCAGCUUCACACCGAAAAACCCAACUUGCUAAAAGAGUGAUUAAACUCUUACCGGCUGCCUCUCCGGACUCUCAGCAGGCUUAGCAGGCUUCGUGACUCUGAGUGCUGUUUCUUUGUGCCACUAAUCAACCAACACUUAACACCUGUGAAAUGAAGCUGCACUAUGAGGUGAUCAACCCACCUGUGCCCAUGAGCUGUCAAUCACCACUGACACCAACAGCCACACCCACACAUUCAAGUUUGACUUCACAGUCUUAGUACUAUACUCAAAUGAUGUUGGACAAUAUGUUUUUACUGUUUAUUAUACUUUAUUCAUUCAUUUAACUGAAUUUUGCCUCUAGGCACUGGGUUUAAAAGUUGUUUUAAAAGCUUUCCAGUAGAAAGUUCAACCCUCAUUCUGUUUUUGGUCUGAUUUGUAUUUUUGUGUAUACAAUAGUUCAAAUAUUUUAAGUGUAGCAUACAAGGGGUAAGUUGCAGCUGUAGUUAAAAAAUAUAUACCGUAUUUUCACGACUAUAAGGCGCACAUAAAAGUCUUUGAUUUUCUUCAAAUUGUGCGGCGCGCCCUAUGGUGCAGUGCGUCCUGUGUGUGUUGUUGUAAGGCGGACGUAGACCAGGUGGUUUUUUCCACGCAUCACCAUCGCUGUUGAUCUGUGACUCUAUGCGUGCCCAUCUCACAGCCGAUGUGAAAAAACAAGUGAAGCAAAUGAACUCUGAGCUUGCCUUCAUUCCGGGAGGCCUGACAAAGGAACUCCAACCGCUGGACAUCGGUGUGAACCGGCCGUUCAAAGUAAGGCUGCGAGCGGCGUGGGAGCGAUGGAUGACCGAUGGAGACCACAGUUUCACUAAGAGUGGAAGGCAGCGCCGGGCGAGUUACGCCACAAUUUGCCAAUGGAUUGUAGAUGCUUGGGCUAACGUGUCUGCUGGCACUGUUGUUCGAGCUUUCGCAAAAGCCGGCAUCAUUUCCGAGGCGCCGCACGGCACGGAAAGUGACUCUGACAGUGAAGAAAGUGAACCUGGCAUGUUUGAUGGAGGUUUAGCGCAGCUGUUCAAUUCAGAAACAGAGGAUGAGGACUUCCAUGGGUUUGAUUGAUGACGAUUACCGGUUAAAAAAAAAAAAAAGUGAAUACCAAACUCAGUUUUGCUCCCGCUCUAUUUUUAAAUACGCACACUUGUGUGCUUGUUUUAUCUGUGUUUUACCAUGCCCGCGACUAUUGAUGAUUUAAAAAAUGUUAGUACUUUGUAAUCAAUACUUAAAUAAAGCACAACCAAACUCA